GUUGCUUGUGAGGUUACUCUGAGUGUAUAUCCACACCGGGCAGGCUUGAAAAAUAUGCCUGGCCACGGUGGGAAUCGAACCUUCCCACCGUGGCCAGGCAUAUUUUUCAAGCCUGCCCGGUGUGGAUAUACACUCAGAGUAACAUCACAAGCAUCUUAUUCACCUUAGUACACUACGCCAACAAAGCAAAUAUUUUAAAAUUUUCUUUAUAAAACUAAUUAUAUUUAAACUGCCUUUAUUGAUAAACUUUGAGUUUGAAAUAAAAUUAUUUCAAAUUC